GUUACCUGAGUGGAAUUUUGAUGGCUC
rnacentral:piRNA from 1 species